GGCAAUGUAGAACUGCCCAAUCAGCAGUCUCAAUGAACCGGAGCGCGCCACGUGGCCAAGCGCGCUGACGUCAGUGUCACGUGGGAGGCCACACUAGCGAUCUACGUGUCCCGCGACCGAACGAUCCAGGAUCGAUCCCUCGCGCCCGCGAUUGAACAAUCCAGGAUCGAUCCUGCAUACGUGGACAGUCCAGAUUCAUUUUUUCCUUAAGCACGAUCGAACAGUCGAGAUCAAACGCGAUGAACAGUUCAGAUUCAUUUCUCUCUUAAAUGUGAUCAAACGGUCGAGAUCAAAUGCGAUGAACGGUCCAGAUUCAUUUUUCUUGUAGACACAAUCGAACGGUCAAGAUCGAUUGCGAUAGACGACCCAGAUUAACGGAUGAUGG
rnacentral:lncRNA from 1 species